CACCGCGGUUAUACGAGAGGCCCAAGUUGACAGACACCGGCGUAAAGAGUGGUCAAGGGUAUAAACAACUAAAGCCGAACGUCCCCCUGGCUGUUAUACGCACUCGGAGGAAUGAAGCCCCACCACGAAAGUGGCUUUACCCCCCCCCCCCUGAACCCACGACAGCUAAGAAA
rnacentral:rRNA from 1 species